rnacentral:misc_RNA from 1 species
UGUGGGAGCUGGCUUGCCUGCGAUGCAGACACCUCAGUGGUUCAGUUGAACCGAGGUGAUGCUAUCGCAGGCAAGCCAGCUCCCACA